GAUGAACGCUAGCUACAGGCUUAACACAUGCAAGUCGAGGGGCAGCAUGAACUUAGCUUGCUAAGUUUGAUGGCGACCGGCGCACGGGUGAGUAACACGUAUCCAACCUGCCGAUGACUCGGGGAUAGCCUUUCGAAAGAAAGAUUAAUACCCGAUGGCAUAGUUCUUCCGCAUGGUAGAACUAUUAAAGAAUUUCGGUCAUCGAUGGGGAUGCGUUCCAUUAGGUUGUUGGCGGGGUAACGGCCCACCAAGCCUUCGAUGGAUAGGGGUUCUGAGAGGAAGGUCCCCCACAUGGGAACUGAGAACAGGGCCAAACUCCUACGGGAGGCAGCAGUGAGGAAUACUGGACAAUGGACGAGAGUCUGAAGCAGCCAAGUAGCGUGAAGGAUGACCGCCCUAUGGGUUGUAAACUUCUUUUAUACGGGAAUAAAGUGAGGCACGUGUGCCUUUUUGUAUGUACCGUAUGAAUAAGGAUCGGCUAACUCCGUG
rnacentral:rRNA from 1 species